rnacentral:rRNA from 1 species
ACUCCUACGGGAGGCAGCAGUGGGGAAUAUUGCACAAUGGGCGCAAGCCUGAUGCAGCCAUGCCGCGUGUGUGAAGAAGGCCCUAGGGUUGUAAAGCUCUUUUCACCGGUGAAGAUAAUGACGGUAACCGGAGAAGAAGCCCGGCUAACUUCGUGCCAGCAGCCGCGGUAAUACGAAGGGGCGUAGCGUUGUUCGGAUUUACUGGGCGUAAAGCGCACGUAGGCGGACUUUUUAAGUCAGGGGUGAAAUCCCGGGGACUCAACCCGCAGACUCGCCUUUGAUACUGGAAGUCUUGAGUAUGGUAGAGGUGAGUGGAAUUCCGAGUGUAGAGGUGAAAUU